AAAGAAACCAACAGGGAUUGCCCCAGUAACGGCGAGUGAAGCGGCAACAGCUCAAAUUUGAAAUCUGGCCCUAGGCCCGAGUUGUAAUUUGCAGAGGAUGCUUUGGGCGCGGUGCCUUCCGAGUUCCCUGGAACGGGACGCCAUAGAGGGUGAGAGCCCCGUCUGGUCGGACACCAAGCCUAUGUAAAGCUCCUUCGACGAGUCGAGUAGUUUGGGAAUGCUGCUCAAAAUGGGAGGUAUAUGUCUUCUAAAGCUAAAUACCGGCCAGAGACCGAUAGCGCACAAGUAGAGUGAUCGAAAGAUGAAAAGCACUUUGAAAAGAGAGUUAAAUAGCACGUGAAAUUGUUGAAAGGGAAGCGUUUAUGACCAGACUUGGCCCGGUUGAUCAUCCAGCGUUCUCGCUGGUGCACUCUGCCGGUCCAGGCCAGCAUCAGUUCGUCGCGGGGGAUAAAGGUUUCGGGAAUGUGGCUCCUCGGAGUGUUAUAGCCCGUUGCGUAAUACCCUGCGGUGGACUGAGGUCCGCGCUCUGCAAGGAUGCUGGCGUAAUGGUCAUCAACGACCCGUCUUGAAACACGGACCAAGGAGUCGUCUUCGUAUGCGAGUGUUCGGGUGUAAAACCCCUACGCGUAAUGAAAGUGAACGGAGGUGGGAGCUUCGGCGCACCAUCGACCGAUCCUGAUGUUCUCGGAUGGAUUUGAGUAAGAGCAUACGGGGCCGGACCCGAAAGAAGGUGAACUAUGCCUGUAUAGGGUGAAGCCAGAGGAAACUCUGGUGGAGGCUCGCAGCGGUUCUGACGUGCAAAUCGAUCGUCAAAUAUGGGCAUGGGGGCGAAAGACUAAUCGAACCUUCUAGUAGCUGGUUUCCGCCGAAGUUUCCCUCAGGAUAGCAGUGUUGAACUCAGUUUUAUGAGGUAAAGCGAAUGAUUAGGGACCCGGGGGCGCUAUUUUGCCUUCAUCCAUUCUCAAACUUUAAAUAUGUAAGAAGCCCUUGUUGCUUAAUUGAACGUGGGCAUUCGAAUGUAUCAAC
rnacentral:rRNA from 1 species